CACACACACACACACACACACACACACUUCAUUAUAUGAGAACUGGAUUUUGCUCACGAAGUAAAGCGUUCCAGUGUAACAACUCAAGUGGUCGUCCCACUCCAUCCACCUGGCCACUCUGGGGACAUAAAUGACUAAAGGAGACUAGAUCAAAUAUCUGCAGCCACUCCAAAUGGCAGUGAUAACGACCCUGUGCAAUUUAGGAGAGAAAAAUAUACCCCGAGGCCAGGGACCCUAGACGAGAGAGUCAGGAAAUGCCUUCCCUGCUCCCCGUAACCCUUCAAAGCACAACCCUGACCCCACCGGGCAGCUCCUUCCCUCGUCUACAACAGGAGCGAGGCCUGCAUUGCCCCUGCCCCGCCCCCUCCUUCUUCACCCUCGAAUAAAUCCUCCCACGGAACCCUUUCCCAACUGUGAGCUUCAGGCCCCCAGGACCUCAGAGCCAUAGAUUCUGUCAACCCGGAUCCUCCACACCACUCUAUGACCCAUGACCCCCUUCUUCAGCCGGCUCUUACUGUCCAGAUAAUGUUCCAAAUACAUCCCAGCAGCCAUCUUGAAGCAAAACAAAGCAACUUCCGAUCCGCCCCGGAAGUGACUGAAACCAGACAGGCGCUGGAGCCAUUCUUGGAAUAGAUCCUUUCCGUACUUAAAAGAACUUCCGCCCUUACUAUACUAUCACCCCCAGACACAUCCGCCCGACAUUGAACCUUUUUGCAUGGCUAGUCACGAUCGCCCACAGCGAAGCUGCUGUAGCCUGCUUCCGCCCUUAAUAGGACGCCAAUAUGUUACUGAGACAGGUAUGACAUCACGCAAGGUCGCCAUUUUGCAUUCUCUAGCAAACUUUUUCCUUCCUAACAGGCAUGUUUGGUAAAUGGGGGAAGAAACUGUUCUGUCUGGUAUUCUGUAAAUCCCUCCUUUCAGCAAGUAGGGAAAACAGCUAUUUUAUUUGCUUAUUUUGAAUUUGAUCAUCAAAGCUGAAGCAGGUAGUCUCUGAGGCAGAUGCUUUCUUCUGAAGUUGUCAGGCUUUGCAAAACGUAACCUUUUGCACUUCUGUUCACUUAAUUUUUUUUUACAACACAGGGUUUGUGUAGCCCUGGCUGACUUCCAAUUUAAGAGAUCUGCCUGUCUCUGCCUCGACAGUGCCGGAAUUAAAGGCGUUUGCCACACCAGGCUAAGGUUCCUGUUCUUUAUACUCAACAAACAUUCACAAAGAGCACAACACUCAUUGAUUUUGCCGUUGUGCUAUUAACGGGAGAUCCCAUGUUUUUGUUUUGUAUUUUAAUUUAUGUAUGAUGUUAACAUGACUCUGAAAGGACUGGGUCAUCAAGGUUUAUGACUGCUAGACCACCUAGACAUCAGCCAUCCCCCUAGUCAAACGUAUCAUCCAUUGUACAAAAGUGAAAGCCUGGCAGGUUGCUGCUACCUUAGGGAAACAACUCAAACCCCAUAACAUAAUAGUGGUGGUAGAUUCUUGAAGAUAGCUGUCACCUCUAAUUCAUACAUCUUUCACAAUAAUUACACCACACAGCAUACUUUUAAAAUUUUAGCUCCCUUUGACCAAAUAUGUAAAGAUGCCCAUUUACUACUGAGCAUAGAUGCUAAAGCAGGGCAGUAGGACGUAGACCCCAUUCUAAUUACAAGAGCAUGCUGUUGGGAUAACUUUAUCCCUGCCAGCUCUUUUCUCUAUACGAGAGUAGCAGCAGGCAACAUUACCAUUGGGUGGGAGUGGGAAUGAACAUUCACCCACAAAGGUACUUAUUCCAAUACUUGUGAUGGAAACAGGGUCGUCAGAGACUCUGAGUCAGUGAGAGGAGAAAAAAAAGCAUCAAGAAGCUAACCAACAAAGGCAUACUGAGAUACUGUCCUGGAUGGCUAGUCCCAAAUUAAAUGGGACUUACUUAUCCACAUCACUAGAUAAUGGCUGUUGGUCAGUUCUCAGGUCUGAGAACUUUGUCAACUUUUCCAGUACUGUAUGAAGGAUUUAAUCUUCAUGAUGCAGUCUUGGAAAUUAGGCCGAAUCCUUUCAUGGUAGACUGUGAGAAGUCUUAGGUUUCUUGAUCUGUCCAGCACAACCGUCUUCCACUGUACGGUGAACAUGAUAACCAUUGUAUCAUGGGAAGCUCACUGCAUUUUGCAUUUUCUUCAGUCCUAAGCCCAGUAGCUGGUUAUGGUUUCCAUCACCGGAAACCUCUGGUCUUAGUCACUGCAGUUUAAUGAGACACACACAUAUGUACACAAUGCCCAGUAGAAUUUGGACAAAAUAGGAAGGCAUGGGUAGUGCAGGUCCUUUGAAGAGGCCAUACUUCCCUGCCCCCUUUUUUUGAUGUGUGGAGGGCAAAGAGUAAGGAAUAUAGUUGUUUUGUUAAAUGAAACCUUGCUCUCACCACGGAUGUAGGCAAGCAAUCCCCACGACAGAAUUUGUACACAAAUGUUCCUAAACUGGAAGUGGCUGAGGAUUCACACAGGGGCUUAUCACACAAGCACUCAUUCUUCACACAUUCCAGUUUAAGUACUUAAUGCUGUCCUGAAUAUCUCCCCAAAUAGGUUUUCCCGCGCUAGCUUACAUCAGUAGCUCACUGCUCUCAUCCUUAAACAUGAAUUUAUUUCUAUACAAUGUUCUAAAAACACCCCUUAGUUUGUACAUAAGAAUUUUCAUUUUUAAAUUGCUUUAUAACAACUGUAUAAUUCCUGAUUAUUUUAAUUUUCUUUUCUCUGAAAUCUGCCGUGAUUUAAAAAAUUAAAAGGUAAAAGAAAAUUAAAAUGCCAUGGCCAGAGGACAAGGUGGAGAAAAAUAAGACAAAAACAAAACAUCAAUAUGAAAAUUCUCAGAGAUAAUGCAUUUAUAAACACAGAAAUGGUUACAACAAAGAUGGCCGUGAUGAGCAGGUAAGCGUAGAACGGAAGGCUGGUUGCGUUUAGAGCUUCCUUUUCUGUUAUCUGCGAGGCCAGCCGCUAGCCUUCUAUUGGCCCCAACGUUGAGGAUGAGAAGAGAGAAAGGAGCAGCUGAGAUUAAGGAUGGUUAUCUUGCGAAGGAAGCCAUGCCUGAGGACCAAGGAGCUGGAGACAGGACUUGUCAAGGAAGAAGAGAACUUUCCCAACAAGCGGAGUUGACAUAGGAGGGACUAGAACUUCUUCUCCCUCUUCCCAGUGGAUGGCAGUACGGAUCUCUAAGAGCUGGCCAGAAUAUCACAGAAAAUACCCGAAACCUUUCUCCAUCACAAAAGCUCGUUUUAUAUGACUAAUGAAGAACCACUGCUUAUGGCGUUAAUUAUCUCUGAAUACUGACUCUUAUCUACUGAGCGAGAGAGAGCAGGGGCAAGUACAUGACAAGCCAUUCACCAGCAGACUUCCAUCAGGAAGGGACACAGACCCGGGAAGGGAAGGUAGCAGGCACUUACCGAUGUGUAUGCCCGACUACAGAUUGUGCAGGUAUACACCUUGGCGUGCUUCACCGUAUGUGUAGAUAAGUGAGCCUCUAGUGAGGCUGCGUCUGUGUAUGCUCGGUGACAGUUGUGGCACUUGAAGGGUUUGUCUUUGUUGUGCUGCCGUCUGUGAGACUAAACAAACGAGAGAAACCAAAAUGAGUACCGUUCCUUCCUUGGCCUUCAUGGUGGGAGAGCCCAGGGUGAGCAGAGGCCAUCCUAGCUUCCCUUUCUACAAGAAGGCAGUACAGAAUGCUCUGAAUGGACGUCAGGACCAGUGGCUAAGGGGGAGAUGUCUACCAUACGGCAUGAACCCAGAGUCCGGAAAGUUACGACAACGACGACGACUUACACCUACCUGGUCUCCCUCUUCCAGUGGCUCUUAAAGGGGGUUUGGAGGCUACCUGGCCCUUUUCAGGGGCUCACAUAAUCAGAACUCUUCAAAAUACCGAGACAGGACUGAGGAGAGAGUCAGUGGGUAGAGUGCUUCUGUGUGUUAAGAACCCCACUUUACACCCUCAGCAUCCACCUAAGAGCUGGGUGUGAUGGCAUGCACAAAGAAUCUCAGUGCUGGGCAGGGGCGGAAACAGGAGGAUGCCUCAGGUUUACUGCUCUAGUCAAGUAUGGUGAGCUCUAGCUGCAAUACGAAAGUCUCAAAAUGAGGCAGAGAGCUACAGAAGCAGACAUCCAAGUGUUACCUCUACUCAUGCUUAAACAGUCAUAACAUAGCCACACACACAAAAGCAGACAUGUAAGUGUUACCUCUACUCAUGCAUAAACAGCCAUAACACAGCCACACACACAAAAGCCAAGUGUCUGCCUCUGCACUCCUGUUCUCUCAUGUUAGACUGACUACAUCAGGUCAAAGAGUAUGUUCACUUUUAGCUAAGCCAAAGACUGAAGAAACGUGCAAAAACCCCGUUCGGUCAUUGCAGCACACAUCUACAAUCCUAGCACUUAAAAGACUGAGGAGUUAGGAUGACAGGUUCAAGGCCAGUCUGAGUUACACAACACACCGUUUAAGUAUUUAAA